rnacentral:rRNA from 1 species
AUUGAACGCUGGCGGCAGGCCUAACACAUGCAAGUCGAACGGUAACAGGAAGAAGCUUGCUUCUUUGCUGACGAGUGGCGGACGGGUGAGUAAUGUCUGGGAAACUGCCUGAUGGAGGGGGAUAACUACUGGAAACGGUAGCUAAUACCGCAUAACGUCGCAAGACCAAAGGGGGGGACCUUCGGGCCUCUUGCCAUCGGAUGUGCCCAGAUGGGUUUAGCUAGUAGGUGGGGUAACGGCUCCCCUAGGCGACGAUCCCUAGCUGGUCUGAGAGGGUGACAGGCCCCCGUGAAACGAAAAACGGUCCAGGCCCCCAAGGGGGGGCAGGGAGGGGGAAGAUUGAAAAUGGGGGGCAAGCGUGAUGCAGCCAGGCCGGGUGUAUGAAGAAGGCCUUCGGGUUGGAAAGUCAUUUGAGGGGGGGGGAAGGGAGAAAAUUUAAAACCUUAACUCUUGGACGUAACCCGUAAAAAAAGCCCGGGCAAACCCGGG